UACAGAGGUCCCAAGCGUUGUUCGGAUUCAUUGGGCGUAAAGGGUGCGUAGGCGGCGCGGUAAGUCGGGUGUGAAAUCUCGGAGCUUAACUCCGAAACUGCAUUCGAUACUGCCGUGCUUGAGGACUGGAGAGGAGACUGGAAUUUACGGUGUAGCGGUGAAAUGCGCAGAUAUCGGGAAGAACACCCGUGGCGAAAGCGGCUCUCUGGAACGGUACUGACGCUGAGACGCGAAAGCGUGGGGAGCGAACAGG
rnacentral:rRNA from 1 species